CUUGCAUCAUGAUUUACAUUUGAGUGAGUGGCGAACUGGUGAGUAACACGUGGGAAACCUGCCCAGAAGCGGGGGAUAACACCUGGAAACAGAUGCUAAUACCGCAUAACAACUUGGACCGCAUGGUCCGAGCUUGAAAGAUGGCUUCGGCUAUCACUUUUGGAUGGUCCCGCGGCGUAUUAGCUAGAUGGUGGGGUAACGGCUCACCAUGGCAAUGAUACGUAGCCGACCUGAGAGGGUAAUCGGCCACAUUGGGACUGAGACACGGCCCAAACUCCUACGGGAGGCAGCAGUAGGGAAUCUUCCACAAUGGACGAAAGUCUGAUGGAGCAACGCCGCGUGAGUGAAGAAGGGUUUCGGCUCGUAAAACUCUGUUGUUAAAGAAGAACAUAUCUGAGAGUAACUGUUCAGGUAUUGACGGUAUUUAACCAGAAAGCCACGGCUAACUACGUGCCAGCAGCCGCGGUAAUACGUAGGUGGCAAGCGUUGUCCGGAUUUAUUGGGCGUAAAGCGAGCGCAGGCGGUUUUUUAAGUCUGAUGUGAAAGCCUUCGGCUCAACCGAAGAAGUGCAUCGGAAACUGGGAAACUUGAGUGCAGAAGAGGACAGUGGAACUCCAU
rnacentral:rRNA from 2 species